GCCCCCACCGCUGAAGGCAGGUCAAGAGGACCUGCAGGUGGCUACAGAGAGCUGCUGCUGACAGGAGAGUAGGAAGGAGUUCAAGGCCAGGGCUCCUGAAAAUAAAAACGGUCUCAGGGGAAGCAGUCACAAGAGCCUCUUCCCUUUAUAUAAAACCAAAAUGUAAAACCCAACACUUCUGUAUUUUGGUUUUAGCUGUCAUUGUAAGUAGCUGCUGGUGGUGCAGUCUGCAGAUUUUAUUCUCAGGAGACUCCGCGUUGCUCCCCAGUUGCCUGCCUUUGGUUUCUCCUUCUGUGGACAUACAGCCAGGAACUGGGCUUUUUCUAGCCUCCAGUCCCUAUUCUCCUUCAAGCAAGCACAGGAGACAGCAGGUAUGCAGAGGUAAGGGGAGAAUUUGCACAGCAAUAAGGUGUCCUUGCUGCACUCCCAUGUCUAUUUUGAAAUAAAAAUGUACCCUCAGAAAGCAAGCUUACCUUGUAACAGCACAAGGUUAAAUUAAAAUGAGGUAGCUUGCAACACUUAACUUUUCAUUAAUGAGUAACAGCUGAAGUUAGCUAACGUCUCCACUCCUCGUGGCAACAGCCCCACUCAGAAAGCCUGGCUUCAGGAACUGCCCCAGUGCAGGGGCAGGGCAUGGGCUGACCCAUGCUGAAAGGGCCGCACUGCCCUCCUCAGAACCCAAAACCCUGAGCGGGUAUCCGCAGCUCUCCCAGCCCGGUUCCUUCAGCCCUGGGUAGCCUGUCCCCAGGCCAACACAUGGUACUGCCUCCUCUGACACUUCGGCGCUCCGUAGGUGUUAGAAGCCACCUAUUAGCCAAGUCACUUCACGUAUAGGCAAGGCCCUCUGAAUUCAACCCAGCUUGCCUGUAUUUGCUGGAUGAUGAGCACACAAGUUCAGCUGUAUGUGUGUACUAAUGGUGUUAGUAUAGAUCUUAAUCUGUUUUUUUUAAUACGCUGCAACAUUUGUAGAGGUUUAACAUAUAUUUAGUGUCAAAACACCUUGGUUUUUAUUUUCAUAUCCUUUCUGAAUCAGGUUAAGCUGUAAACAAUUUCUUUUCAAUCAAAUACUGCCAACUAGAAUUACUUCCAUUCAUGCAUCACUGAAAACAAAAAGGGUAUUUUUCCUUAAGUACAGAUUUUUCUUUUUUAUACAGAAACCGAUAGCUAGAUUCGAUGCACCCUGAUUAGUUAUGUAAACAGAUAACCCAAAAAAACUCGUCAACAGAACUAAUAAGUUGGUUCCUUCAUAGAAUGGAAAUCAAAAAUCUCUCCUGACUUGAGGUUAACAUGGUCAGGAGUAUAGAGUGUGGCACAUAUAAAUCCAUCUAGGAGGUGUAAAAAUUGCACCGUAUCUGAAUUAACAAAGUUAUGCAUAAUGAAAUGCACAGUGUAAAUUCAUGCUAGAAAGCAUUUUUCAAUAUGAAGUGGCAGCCAACUGGCAACCGUAACAGUUAGGUUCUGCACCAUCAUUUAUGGCAUUAUAGAUAACUAUUACCUAUAGCAUACUUUAAAACCCUGAAGGAUUGUGUUACUUGAAACAUUCUCCAGGCAGUCAUUUGGUUUGAAACAUUGGGAGAAAGACUAAAGAGCUUGCCAUCUUAUACCGAUUAUGGUACCUUUAACUUUUAUGAAGUAGAUCAGAUAUGAUGUGUGUUUCACAGUAACGAAGUUGCUUUAAUGCCUUUUCUCCAACAGUAGGAUUCUGUUAGAUGUUUCUGCCCUCAGAUCACCGUUGUCCCAGGGGUCUUCCCUUUUCUUAAGUCUGGGUAACUACAUUGAGCACUUUUCCUGGUUUCUAACUAUUCAUCAGUCCUUUCAGUAUAUCUUCGGAGAGCUCCAGCAGAGGGAGUUCAGGGGAGGGGAUGUCCAGGGGGGGAAGGUUGGGUAUUGGAAUGUCCUUCGCCUUCCCAGCAGUUGUUGCAAACUUCUGCCAAGUUGCAGCUGAAGAAGUAGUUUCCGAGUGUUGCUGCAGACCCCACAACUCUGACUUCUCAACAAAGUCAGCAUCUACAUCCAACUCCUUGUCUACUGGAGAUUUUUGGAGUCUAGCUCUUUCUGCUUUUAACUGCUUAUUCUCCCUCCUUAAUCUUUCAUUUUCAGCUACGAGAAAUUCUAUGUGCCGUUUCAAAUCUGCAAUUUUGGUUGCCUGCUCUUCUAUUAUUGUUUUGUCAUCUUUUGGAGCUUUGCUCCCAAUACAAGCUUCUACUGGCUCCUUUUUUCUCUGAAGCAGAAAUAAUAGUGUAUCCGGGUCCCUGUCAAAGACACCCUGAAUAUCCUGUGGAUGUUUCUCUGUGGAAGGGCUGUAUUUCUGAGUAACAGGAACCAAUACGUUUUGAUCAUCAGAGUCUUCAGCAGAUGGCUUAUAAGAAGUCUGAAGAUGUGCCGCUAUUUCCUUGUCAGCAUUCUGCUGGGCUUUCAGCUUUUCCUCCCUCUUUGCCCUUUUCCACCUCUCCUGGAUGAGCAGUAACUGUUUCAUAUGACUAUCCCUUUGUAAUUCCAGUGAUAGCUGAGCCUGAGUAAGAACAAGAUUAAACAAUUUAAUUGGUGAUCCCUAAUCCCACCUGAAUGUUCACGCAAAUUUGUGCAAUGAAUAAGGGAAGAUGUACGGCUGUUCAGAAGACCAGAGACCUCCCAGUCAGGAUGAAUAAAACCAAAAUUGCAGACUGUAGAUGAGAUGCUCAGCUUUGUGUCUCAGCAAAACAGCCUAAGUUCCUCACAGCAAAAGCUAAAUAUGAAACUAGUUUUAUCACCUUCUUGAAGAUGCCUUGCAGACUAGAAACCAGUGUUGGAGAACCCUUGGAUGAGAGGAGGAUAGCAGCCAUCUCCAGAAAGUCCUAGAAGAACAACUUUCCCGUGAAGGGAAGGAACACAGCUAAGGACCAGACUUUUAACAUACAAGCAUUCUAAGACAAAAAUGUGUUGAUUGUGCAAGGACCAAGGAAUUUCUCCCAUUUUCAUGGUACAUUAUUCAUCACCAGCAGUUUGAAGAAAUCAGUGGUGCUGCUUAGUGAUGAAACUGCAACAGAAGUACUUGGAUGCUUAAUAGCCACCUAUCAUGGAUAAGCUUCUACAUCUUGUCUAGUCUGCUGGUUUAUUCUUAGCACUCUGUUACACUUAGCCACGCAGCAUCCAACCAUUGUUAGCAAAUCCAUUUUGAACUCAGAGUGGCCUGUAUCGCAUUAUAAACCUGGCAAUGGAAGAAUUGGUCCUAUAUCACAAAGUGAAAAAAAUGGCUCUCAAGUUCAUGUCUGGUCUGAUGUCAUGCUAGAAGAAGGUGUUUACAACAACAGUUCUGGAGCUGCUAUGCUGGUUCCCAUCAGAUUCAAGCAGGACUGCUUUGACUUUGGUCCUGCUGCUGUGAUGAUUACAGAAACAGCUGCUGCAUAACUGCAGUGGGUUUAUGUAUCUGAUUUCUCAUUCCUCUUCCAGUUGCAGUGCUGGAAAUAAAUGUAGGAUGUGGUGUAAGAAUAAUUAUAAUUUAUUAACAAGUUAUGGAAUUGAAGGGGGGAAGCAGUUUGACAACUACUUCCAGAUGUUCCUCCCAAUCCAGACGAGCAGGAAUUCCCAGUUGGCAAAUGGGCAGGUGUAACAACUUGACUCUUGUAAGAGGAAGCAGGUGUGAGUGAACCAUGACCAACCUAAAAAGCUUCCUCAUGUUGCUCUAACAUAUUUGGUUCUUAAAGGAUUUGUGCGUGCUUUACUGUAUCACUUGAACCACUCUGGAUCAACUACAGAAGCAGGUAAGCUAGGCAGCUUUCCUCCAACUUUCCAACUGUAGCUGAGAUGUUAACAAAUGAUAACUUCAUCUGUACAUUUGUACUGCUAUUCCAAAGACAUAUUUCUAUUUGAUUCUCCACCCAAACUAUUGACUAUGUAAUUGCUGAGCAACAGCAUAAAAAACCCCCCAAAAAUCAAAUGACCCUCUAAAACAGCAAUGCAGGUCUCCUCUUUGCCUAGAACUUUCUUUAAUAGCCCAAAAGUUAACACCCAACUGUUUUUUUUAAAAUAUGAAUUAGCCAAUGAUGGGACUACAGGCCAUAAGGAACAAAGUCAUAAGGCUCACCUGCCAGAUAUCUUACCACUCCCUCAAACUAAAAAAUAAAAAUGCUAGUUUUCUUUCUAGAGAUUGUGUGCCAUUACAGCUUAAAGGAUUACCAUUGUAUGAUCCUAGCUUAGGUUGGAGGAAAAAAAACAAGUGCUGCUUUUCCCAUGUGAUUCCAGUUGAUGGCUAGCUAUGAUAGAAGGAAGAGUGACAGGAAAAAAACCUGCUUAAUCCUACAAUAUUUUUAAAAGGUAGAUAUAGUCCUAGUCAUUUUCAAAUAGGGUAAGUCUACUACCCUCUCCUAAGAGCAGUAAUUUGCAACCGUUCUCCUGUAGCUGAAGUAGUGUUGUGUGUGUUUUGUUUUCCUUUGUUCCCCUAAUGGUGCUGGACAAAGCCUUGCGCAAGAUGUUAAGCUUACAGCCUUCUUUGUUUGUUGUAGGGGACUUUCUAGAAAAUGAUAUAGUAUAAUAUGAUUAUGAAGCACAGAUUACAGUGCCUUACUUGCUAAUAAAGUUACAAAUGAAGGCAGGAAAACCCAGCUGCUAAAAUGAUGGGGCCUGAGGAAAGUUAACUGCAAAGAAGUUCUGUCUAAUGUAACAGUUUGUAACUGUUUUAAGCAACUGUUUGCUGUUAGCAUCAUCUAUUUUAUGCUAUGGACUGUGGAUACUAGUUAUCUUUGCCAGAAAGGAUUAAUACCUAUGCUCUCCUACUGCGGAAAGCACAGAUUAAAGUAUUUUUUUGAGAGAUAAGCGAUCUAUCUGGGGAUUUGUUUCUUCUAAGGAUACAGGGCUGUUUUUCUAGGAAUGCAUAUGGAAGAAAGGAAGAUUCAGAAAGUGUACACUGCAUUGCUUCCAUACUGUGCAAAAGAGUGCUAACUAUCUUCCAUGUAGAUGUUUACAGCAGCAGGCCACAAAGGGUGGGACGAGGGGGCGCACCAUUAUUCCCCCCACCCCACAAACACUGUCAGGGCUACACACAUGAAGUCUCUUUCAAACCCAUUCUUACAAGGAAAUAGUAACCUAGAAAGGUUUGAAUGCGCAUGGCUGCAUACACAUUGAAAAAAUGGAAUGAAGAGAGAAUACAAGCGGAAAACUUGACCUGAGAGGUCCAAGACUAAACUAUGGUCAUCCUUUUUUUUUUUUAAUUAAAAAAAAAUGUAAUCAUGAUGGAUAAAACUCUGACUAUGGAAAAUGCUUGUAUUUACAAGCAGUUACACUAAAAGCAAAAAUAAUAGAGAUGUGCUAUAACUUAUGCUAAAUAAUGGGAAUGUAUUUGCUGCUAAGCCUAAAGAAAUGGUUAUGUGUAGCUUUAUCAACAGAAGCAAGCCCCCUUAAAAGUACUGCUGCUAUUCUGUAAAGAAAGACAGAGUUGACUGAAGGAGAAACAAAAAAUGGCAGAACCCAUUGUGACUGCUCAACCAAUACCACUAGCCACAUGUAAGCUCAAUUUUCUGUCUUUGAAAGCCUGUACUUAGCAAGGUUGACAGAACAAUGACUGAACUGUAAAUUACAGGUUAGUGUGACUAUAGAGUGAAACAAGUAUGUGAAACUCUCAUCAGAAUGUAUUCUCAAUAUUAACAGACUCCUCACUCACUUUGUAUUGAACCGUAAAGAUGUUGAAGUUCAACUUGCUUGUAAGCAAUGAUAUUAGAAUUUAAAUAGAUGGGCAGACAAGCAACAGUUGUUUAGCCAACCAACAUUAAUUCACUGAAUAACCCUAAUUGAUUACACAUGUGUUCCCAACUUAUUACAAAUUUAAGAUCAUUUGAGUUCUUCACCAUGCAAAUGCAAUUAAGAGAUCUGGAAUGAAGCCAACUCACAUUCACACUGCUCAAGUUAGGCAGAGUCUUCAAAACCCCAUCUAGGCAUAGCUGCAGCUCUUUCCC